rnacentral:rRNA from 1 species
UACGUAGGGUGCGAGCGUUGUCCGGAAUUAUUGGGCGUAAAGGGCUCGUAGGCGGUUUGUCGCGUCGGGAGUGAAAACACUGGGCUUAACUCAGUGCUUGCUUCCGAUACGGGCAGACUAGAGGUAUUCAGGGGAGAACGGAAUUCCUGGUGUAGCGGUGAAAUGCGCAGAUAUCAGGAGGAACACCGGUGGCGAAGGCGGUUCUCUGGGAAUGUCCUGACGCUGAGGAGCGAAAGUGUGGGGAGCAAACAGG